rnacentral:rRNA from 1 species
UACGUAGGGGGCUAGCGUUGUCCGGAAUCAUUGGGCGUAAAGAGCGUGUAGGCGGCUUGGUAAGUCCGCUGUGAAAGUCCAGGGCUCAACCCUGGAAUGCCAGUGGAUACUGUCAAGCUAGAGUCCGGAAGAGGCGAGUGGAAUUCCUGGUGUAGCGGUGAAAUGCGCAGAUAUCAGGAGGAACACCGGUGGCGAAGGCGGGUCUCUGGGCCGAUACUGACACUGAGGAGCGAAAGCGUGGGGAGCGAACAGG